rnacentral:rRNA from 1 species
GUGGGGAAUAUUGGACAAUGGGGGGAACCCUGAUCCAGCCAUGCCGCGUGUGUGAAGAAGGCCUUUUGGUUGUAAAGCACUUUAAGCGAGGAGGAGGCUACCGAGAUUAAUACUCUUGGAUAGUGGACGUUACUCGCAGAAUAAGCACCGGCUAACUCUGUGCCAGCAGCCGCGGUAAUACAGAGGGUGCAAGCGUUAAUCGGAUUUACUGGGCGUAAAGCGCGCGUAGUUGGCCAAUUAAGUCAAAUGUGAAAUCCCCGAGCUUAACUUGGGAAUUGCAUUCGAUACUGGUUGGCUAGAGUAUGGGAGAGGAUGGUAGAAUUCCAGGUGUAGCGGUGAAAUGCGUAGAGAUCUGGAGGAAUACCGAUGGCGAAGGCAGCCAUCUGGCCUAAUACUGACACUGAGGUGCGAAAGCAUGGGGAGCAAACAGGAUUAGAAACCCCGGUAGUCC